rnacentral:piRNA from 1 species
GAUCUGAGCCGAUGACUUCCUUUGC